AACAGACGGAAACGACUGCUAAUACCGAAUACGCUUGGGAGACCGCAUGAUCUUCCAAGGAAAAAGGUGGCCUCUACCUGUAAGCUAUCGCCUGAANAGGGGUUUGCGUCUGAUUAGCUGGUUGGAGGGGUAACGGCCCACCAAGGCGACGAUCAGUAGCCGGUCUGAGAGGAUGAACGGCCACACUGGAACUGAGACACGGUCCAGACUCCUACGGGAGGCAGCAGUGGGGAAUCUUCCGCAAUGGGCGAAAGCCUGACGGAGCAACGCCGCGUGAGUGAUGACGGCCUUCGGGUUGUAAAACUCUGUGAUCCGGGACGAAAAGGCAGAGUGCGAAGAACAAACUGCAUUGACGGUACCGGAAAAGCAAGCCACGGCUAACUACGUG
rnacentral:rRNA from 1 species